UAUUUUUAUUAGUCAGUAAUACAUAUUCCUUUGCCAUUGAGAUAUUUUGAGAGAAAAAAAUGUUUGCCAUCACUUUCACAGCAAAUAUGCCCCUUUAAAAGAACAUGACCCACGAACCAUGAAAAAUGGCCUAGCCUGGGAAAUUGAUAAUUUCUGUAUAUAAUAAUCUUCGGGAUAUAGGCUUUCUAGAAAUGUUUUUCUUUUUUUCAUAUAUUCUAUACUUUUUUGUUAAUAUGACGUUGAAUAUUGUGGUAUUUAAUGUUAAAAAAUUAACAUUUCGGGAUACACGUCACAACAAUAAACCUCCAAUGACCAUGUACAAUGUACAUGAACCUAUAAAUCUCUGAAUUUAUCAAGUUAUAUGCACUCAAAUAGCUAGAAUGGCUUAUUCAAUGAUCAUAAUAAGCAUUUUUGACCAAAUUUGGGAAAUAGAAAUAAGAAAUAUUUUGGAAAUGAUGUUCAAAGCCGUGAUUGUUCAACUUUACUUUUAAAUUAUUUUUACUUGAAUUUUAAAAUACUGAAAUAAGAAGAAUAAAUAUAGUAUGUAGUUUAUUUACAUGGUGAAAGAAGUGAAUCAUUGGAACAAUUCUGUUUCAUAUCAUAUUCCAUAGUUUUGGGUUUUUUUGUUUUCUUUCUUUUUUUUUUUUUUUUAGUAUUAAAACGACCGAGUAUCGAAAGCAAUGGUAACGAAAUAAGUUGACACCGCGUCUCGUCAAAACAUGUUCAAUUCGAAUUUACUCGGAAUUACACGUUCAACGAGCAUUUGCUGUGAAACCUGAUUAAAGGAAAAUUACUGUAGACACCUAAUAGUGAUUUGUACAGAAGCGAGCCCCGGCAGGAAUGAUGGCCUCUUUUGAAAUGAAGAUUUCAUGCCUUACUCCUACUGGGACUACAACUAACUUUGGACCUGGUCACUCGCAGAUACAGCAUGAAGUGUGCCCUCUUGAUGUACAUGGGGAUGGGAGUGAUACAGAAGGGGGACUAAUUGGAAGAACUGCUGCUGCUGGUGGUGGUGCUGGACUGUCUUGAAUCUGUUGCCUAACCGACUUGAUAUUCUUCUGUUUAAUAUGGGAGCAACACACACACUCUGGCAUAUAUUGCACAGAAAAUCAUGAUCAGAUGGUGCCCUCCCUAUCAGAGUGGUGAUCACUGACCUAUAUUUCUUUGAAAUCCUGGAUCUGUGUUUUGGUUUUACUCUCCAUGGACAGUUGAAACAGAGAAAGAAUUAGGGACCACUCCUUGGCAUAUCUGAAAUAUUUAUGUCAUAUACAUGUAAUUAAAAUAUACAAUUUGGGUUGGAUGAAAAUCUUAUCUUCAUGUUAAAACCCAUUAGCCUAGGUUAUUUUUCCUAAAAUCUAAUUAUAAAUCAAUUAACUUGUUAAUUAAUGCUUGGUGAAUCAAUUAAUAAAUUGUAUUCAAGAACUUGGAAUUAUUUUUUUUCCCACUAAUAAACUGAAAAUGUGUAUCUUCAAA